UACAGAGGUCUCAAGCGUUGUUCGGAUUCAUUGGGCGUAAAGGGUGUGUAGGUGGCGCGCUAAGUCGGGUGUGAAAUUUCGGAGCUUAACUCCGAAACUGCAUUUGAUACUGGCGUGCUUGAGGACUGGAGAGGAGACUGGAAUUCAUGGUGUAGCAGUGAAAAUGCGUAGAGAUCAUGAGGAAGACCAGUGGCGAAGGCGGGUCUCUGGACAGUUCCUGACACUGAGACACGAAGGCCAGGGGGAGCAAACGGG
rnacentral:rRNA from 1 species